UUAAAUUGAAGAGUUUGAUCAUGGCUCAGAUUGAACGCUGGCGGCAGGCCUAACACAUGCAAGUCGAACGGUAGCACAGAGAGCUUGCUGCUUGGGUGACGAGUGGCGGACGGG
rnacentral:rRNA from 1 species